rnacentral:rRNA from 1 species
GACGAACGCUGGCGGCGCGCCUAACACAUGCCAGUCGAACGAGCGAGCGAGAGCUUGCUUUCUCAAGCGAGUGGCGAACGGGUGAGUAACGCGUGAGGAACCUGCCUCAAAGAGGGGGACAACAGUUGGAAACGACUGCUAAUACCGCAUAAGCCCACAGGUCGGCAUCGACCAGAGGGAAAAGGAGCAAUCCGCUUUGAGAUGGCCUCGCGUCCGAUUAGCUAGUUGGUGAGGUAACGGCCCACCAAGGCAACGAUCGGUAGCCGGACUGAGAGGUUGAACGGCCACAGUGGGACUGAGACACGGCCCAGACUCCUACGGGAGGCAGCAGUGGGGAAUAUUGCACAAUGGGGGAAACCCUGAUGCAGCGACGCCGCGUGGAGGAAGAAGGUCUUCGGAUUGUAAACUCCUGUUGUUGAGGAAGAUAAUGACGGUACUCAACAAGGAAGUGACGGCUAACUACGUG